AUUGAACGCUGGCGGCGUGCUUUACACAUGCAAGUCGAGCGGCAGCAUGGGGGCAACCCUGAUGGCGAGCGGCGAACGGGUGAGUAAUACAUCGGGACAUGCCUCAUAGUGGGGGAUAACCUAUCGAAAGAUGGGCUAAUACCGCAUAAUCUCCGAGGAGGAAAGCUGGGGACCUGCGAGGGCCUGGUGCUAUAAGAGUGACCGAUGGUCGAUUAGUUAGUUGGUGAGGUAACUGCUUACCAAGGCGAUGAUCGAUAGCGGUUCUGAGAGGAAGAUCAACCGUACUGGGGCUGAGACAAGGCCCGGACUCCUGCGGGAGGCAGCAGUGGGGAAUUUUGGACAAUGGGGGCAACCCUGAUCCAGCAACGCCGCGUGAAUGAAGAAGUCCUUAGGGUUGUAAAGUUCUUUUAUCCAAGAGCAAAAGAUAGAUGUUAACAGCAUGUGUUACUGAGAGUAUUGGAAGAAUAAGCACCGGCUAACUACGUGCCAGCAGCCGCCGUAA
rnacentral:rRNA from 1 species